rnacentral:rRNA from 1 species
AGGGUUUGAUCAUGGCUCAGGAUGAACGCUAGCGGCAGGCUUAACACAUGCAAGUCGAGGGGUAACAGAAAAAAGCUUGCUUUUUUGCUGACGACCGGCGCACGGGUGCGUAACGCGUAUGCAAUCUACCUUUUGCUAAGGGAUAGCCCAGAGAAAUUUGGAUUAAUACCUUAUAGUAUGGUGACUUGGCAUCAAGAUAUCAUUAAAGGUUACGGCAAAAGAUGAGCAUGCGUUCUAUUAGCUAGUUGGUGUGGUAACGGCAUACCAAGGCAACGAUAGAUAGGGGUCCUGAGAGGGAGAUCCCCCACACUGGUACUGAGACACGGACCAGACUCCUACGGGAGGCAGCAGUGAGGAAUAUUGGACAAUGGAGGCAACUCUGAUCCAGCCAUGCCGCGUGCAGGAAGACUGCCCUAUGGGUUGUAAACUGCUUUUAUACAGGAAGAAACACCUCUACGUGUAGAGAUUUGACGGUACUGUAAGAAUAAGGAUCGGCUAACUCCGUGCCAGCCGCCGCGGUAAUAC